rnacentral:rRNA from 1 species
GACGAACGCUGGCGGCGUGCUUAACACAUGCAAGUCGAACGGAAAGGCCCUGCUUUUGUGGGGUGCUCGAGUGGCGAACGGGUGAGUAACACGUGAGUAACCUGCCCUUGACUUUGGGAUAACUUCAGGAAACUGGGGCUAAUACCGGAUAGGAGCUCCUGCUGCAUGGUGGGGGUUGGAAAGUUUCGGCGGUUGGGGAUGGACUCGCGGCUUAUCAGCUUGUUGGUGGGGUAGUGGCUUACCCAGGCUUUGACGGGUAGCCGGCCUGGGAGGGUGACCGGCCACAUUGGGACUGCGGGACGGCCCAGACUCCUACGGUAGGCAGAGGUGGGGAAUAUUGCACAAUGGGCGGAAGUCUGAUGCAGCAACGUCGCGUGCGUGAUGACGGCCUUCGGGUUGUAAACCGCUUUCGCCUGUGACGAAGCGUGAGUGACGGUAAUGAGUAAAGAAGCACCGGCUAACUACGUG